GGGGGGGGGGGGGGGGGGGGGGGGGGGGGGCGGGGGGGGCGGGGGGGGGCGGCGGGUGGGGGGUGGGCGGGGGGCGAAGGGGGGAGGGGCACGUGGGUAACCUGCCCUUGACGUUGGGGGAACUGGAGGAAACUGGGGCUAUGACCGGAUAGGAGCUCCUGCUGCAUGGUGGGGGUUGGAAAGUUUCGGCGGUUGGCGUGGGACUCGCGGCUUAUCAGCUUGUUGGUGGGGUAGUGGCUUACCAAGGCUUUGACGGGCAGCCGGCCUGAGAGGGUGACCGGCGUCAUUGGGCCUGAGAUACGGCCCAGACUCCUACGGGAGGCAGCGGUGGGGAAUAUUGCACAAUGGGCGGAAGCCUGAUGCAGCGACGCCGCGUGCGGGAUGACGGCCUUUGGGUUGUGAACCGCUUUCGCCUGUGACGAAGAGUGAGUGACGGUAAUGGGUAACGAAGCACCGGCUAACUACGUG
rnacentral:rRNA from 1 species